UACGGGGGGGGUAAGCGUUGUUCGGAAUUACUGGGCGUAAAGGGCUCGUAGGCGGCCAACUAAGUCAUACGUGAAAUCCCUCAGCUUAACUGGGGAACUGCGUGUGAUACUGGAUGGCUUGGAUUUGGGAGAGGGAUGCGGAAUUCCAGGUGUAGCGGUGAAAUGCGUAGAUAUCUGGAGGAACACCGGUGGCGAAGGCGGCAUCCUGGACCAAUAUUGACGCUGAGGAGCGAAAGCCAGGGGAGCAAAGC
rnacentral:rRNA from 1 species